GUUGACCUCGGAUCAGGUAGGAAUACCCCGCUGAA
rnacentral:rRNA from 1 species